rnacentral:tRNA from 1 species
AGCAGAGUGGCGCAGCGGAAGCGUGCUGGGCCCAUAACCCAAGAGGUCAAUGGAUCGAAACCAUCCUCUGCUA